CACACUUAGAGCUGUCAACAGAACUUUAUUCAUAGAAACUGGGCGUUCCGACUUACUGGAGCUAUGACCCCUGAGGCCUAGCCCCUUGUUCGGACCCUAGUGAAAAGUGCAGAAUGCCCUCUCCACUGUUGGAGAGAGCCCUGGAGGAAUGCUAUGUUCUAUGCCAAGUAGGGAAUGAGUAGACAUCUGGUUGUUCUUUCUGAGGCUCCCCAUAGAGCUGGGGUGCCUGAGGGUAAAUGGUCCCAAAGCCAGGUGUAGCUGCACCCCUGUACCCAGGGAUAAACUCUUGACCCCAGGUUCUAGUCAAGUUGGGAGUCUUUAAAAGACAAUGACAGGCAGAAGUGGCUCUAAGGACACCUGCGGGUUUCUAGUACCACACCCACCAGGGCAGAGAGAGAGAGAGAGAGAGAGAGAGAGAGAAAAUCAAGAUCACUCCAAGGUCCAUGAGUUGCCAAAAUCCUCAAAUGACACUGAUGUGGCGUGGCCUUGGGGGAAUAGGACCAAAAACUCCC
rnacentral:lncRNA from 1 species